CCUACGGGGGGCAGCAAUUAGGAAUCUUGCACAAUGGGGGAAACCCUGAUGCAGCGACGCCGCGUGAAGGAUGAAGCUUCUCGGAGUGUAAACUUCUUUUGACAGGGAAGAAUUUUGACGGUACCUGUCGAAUAAGCCCCGGCUAACUACGUGCCAGCAGCCGCGGUAAUACGUAGGGGGCGAGCGUUGUCCGAAUUUACUGGGCGUAAAGCGCGCGUAGGCGGUUUCUUAAGUCUGGGGUGAAAGGUUCAACGCUCAACGUGAACAGUGCCUUGGAUACUGGGAGACUUGAGUCUGGGAGGGGGCAGUGGAAUUCCUGGUGUAGCGGUGAAAUGCGUAGAUAUCAGGAGGAACACCGGUGGCGAAGGCGGCUGCCUGGCCUAAGACUGACGCUGAGGUGCGAAAGCGUGGGUAGCGAACGGGAUUAGAUACCCUGGUAG
rnacentral:rRNA from 1 species